GUAACAGAACACCAACUGAAUUUACGACUUAACUACUCCCUCUCUUAGCGAUGCGCGUUCAUGUGGAUGAUGCCAGUUUUUGCCGUCUUAUAGGGCGACCACGCCCCCCUUCGGAGGAAACAGCGGUAAAAGUGACUGGAGGAAACAGCGGUAAAAGUGACUGGAGGCCAAUGUGUGAUGGAGCUUGGAAGUUGCGCCGCCAUAUCUUACUCGAUAAAUAAAUAAAGUUCACAUAAUUAGUU